AACUUUCAACAACGGAUCUCUUGGCUCUCGCAUCGAUGAAGAACGCAGCGAAAUGCGAUACGUAAUGUGAAUUGCAGAAUUCAGUGAAUCAUCGAAUCUUUGAACGCACCUUGCGCCCCCU
rnacentral:rRNA from 1 species